GCGCCAAUAGUCUAGUGGCUAGGACCUCUGACUUCCAAUCAGAAUACCUGGGUUCAAUUCCCAGUUGGCGCACCA
rnacentral:tRNA from 1 species